rnacentral:rRNA from 1 species
UGGGGAAUAUUGGACAAUGGGCGCAAGCCUGAUCCAGCAAUGCCGCGUGGAUGAAGAAGGUCUUCGGAUUGUAAAGUCCUUUCGGCGGGGACGAUGAUGACGGUACCCGCAGAAGAAGCCCCGGCUAACUUCGUGCCAGCAGCCGCGGUAAUACGAAGGGGGCUAGCGUUGCUCGGAAUGACUGGGCGUAAAGGGCGCGUAGGCGGACCGCACAGUCAGACGUGAAAUUCCCGGGCUCAACCUGGGGACUGCGUUUGAGACGUGUGAUCUAGAGUGGGGAAGAGGGUCGUGGAAUUCCCAGUGUAGAGGUGAAAUUCGUAGAUAUUGGGAAGAACACCGGUGGCGAAGGCGGCGACCUGGUCCUUGACUGACGCUGAGGCGCGAAAGCGUGGGGAGCAAAC